CCGCCGCCGCUUUUCUUCAUUGCCUGUGUUUUUGAAUUGUCAGUGUUAAUAGGCUUCUCUAUCUGGUCAUUGUGGAUCGUUCAAUUCCCAAAUGACUCGUUCCCUUGAAGCAAAAUUGAUCGUGCUGCUCUGUGUCAUAUAUAUAUUUUCCCCCAAAUUGUUACUGUGGGAGAACAAGAAAGUGGGGCAGCUAAAUUUCAAAUCUUGUUUCUGUGAUUUCUGGGGGGUUUAGGGUUUAAGGGCUUCAAAUUCGUAUUCAACAUGCACUGAAGUCGGUUUUGUGUGUGUUUUUUCUCAAGUGAAGCCGAGAAUGAGGUUCUCCUCGCUAUCUAAUGCCAUAUAUAAGUGUGGUAUUUGGACGUCGGAGAACUAAAUUA
rnacentral:lncRNA from 1 species